UUCCUACGGGCGGCAGCAGUGGGGAAUAUUGGACAAUGGGCGCAAGCCUGAUCCAGCCAUGCCGCGUGAGUGAUGAAGGCCCUAGGGUUGUAAAGCUCUUUCACCGAUGAAGAUAAUGACGGUAGUCGGAGAAGAAGCCCCGGCUAACUUCGUGCCAGCAGCCGCGGUAAUACGAAGGGGGCUAGCGUUGUUCGGAAUUACUGGGCGUAAAGCGCACGUAGGCGGAUAUUUAAGUCAGGGGUGAAAUCCCAGGGCUCAACUUUGGAACUGCCUUUGAUACUGGGUAUCUCGAGUAUGGAAGAGGUGAGUGGAAUUCCGAGUGUAGAGGUGAAAUUCGUAGAUAUUCGGAGGAACACCAGUGGCGAAGGCGGCUCACUGGUCCAUUACUGACGCUGAGGUGCGAAAGCGUGGGGAGCAAACAGGAUUAGAUACCCGUGUAGUCUGU
rnacentral:rRNA from 1 species